rnacentral:rRNA from 1 species
CCUACGGGUGGCAGCAGUGGGGAAUAUUGCACAAUGGGCGAAACCCUGAUGCAGCGACGCCGCGUGGGUGAAGAAGGUUUUCGGUAUGUAAAGCCCUAUCAGUAGGGAAGAAAAUGACGGUACCUGAUUAAUAAGCCCCGGCUAACUACGGGCCAGCAGCCGCGGGAUUACGGAGGGCGCACGCGUUACCCGGAUUGACUGGGGGUAAAGGGAGCGUAGACGGUAGAGCAAGUCUGGUGUGAAAUGCUUGGGCUUAACCCGAGAACUGCAUUGGAAACUGUGCAGCUAGAGUGCAGGAGAGGUAAGUGGAAUUCCUGGUGUAGCGGUGAAAUGCGUAGAGAUUAGGAGGAACACCAGUGGCGAAGGCGGCUUACUGGACUGUAACUGACGCUGAGGCUCGAAAGCGUGGGGAGCAAACAGGAUUAGAUACCCUAGUAGUC